CUGCAGGUAAGUUUCAUAUAUGGACUGCCUUUUCUUUCUCUCUAUCAUUUUUAUCAGCUAUGAAUCAUUUAACAACCUGAAAUUACAGGAAUUAAAGAUGGAUCAAAUUGGAGCAUGGGACAGCGGCAGUUAUUCUGUUUGGACCGUGCUCUUUUAAAAAGAAGUCGGAUAUUGGUGCUUGAUGAAGCUACUGCAUGCAUAGAUAAUGCAACAGAUGCAAUACUGCAGAAAACCAUUAGGAUUGAAUUUGCAGAUUGCACUGUUAUUACGGUGGCCCACAGAAUACCAACUGUAAUGGACUGCACAAAGGUGCUCGCCAUGAGUAUGGUAAAGUAGUGGAGUAUGAUGAACCAACAACGUUGAUGAAUAGAGAAGGAUCUUUGUUUGGCCGGCUUGUUAGGGAAUACUGGUCCCAUUUCCACUCAGUUAGUCAACAUUAGCUACUGAAUAACAGUUCAAUGUGGUAGUUUAAGUAGGGAGGCCCUGAGCAUGGAUGGAGCUCAAUGGGCCAUGCAUCCUUCUCUUGCCUGUGUAAUUUAUCAUGCUCUAGAAAGUCACUUAUUGAUUCAGAAAGUUAGUAUCAUGCAUUUGUGAUCUUUAAUCUUUCUUUAGCAAGAUUUGAACUUUAAUCUUGUCAUGAGGGACCUUGAAAAAUGAAGAAAUGAGAAGGGACAGGCUCCAAAUAGCUCAGCAAGGCCACAAAAUUUUCUAAAGAA